rnacentral:rRNA from 1 species
AUUGAACGCUGGCGGCAUGCCUUACACAUGCAAGUCGAACGGCAGCACGGGAGCAAUCCUGGUGGCGAGUGGCGAACGGGUGAGUAAUACAUCGGAACGUGCCCUGUCGUGGGGGAUAACUAGUCGAAAGAUUAGCUAAUACCGCAUACGACCUGAGGGUGAAAGCGGGGGACCGUAAGGCCUCGCGCGAAAGGAGCGGCCGAUGUCUGAUUAGCUAGUUGGUGGGGUAAAGGCCCACCAAGGCGACGAUCAGUAGCUGGUCUGAGAGGACGAUCAGCCACACUGGGACUGAGACACGGCCCAGACUCCUACGGGAGGCAGCAGUGGGGAAUUUUGGACAAUGGGGGCAACCCUGAUCCAGCAAUGCCGCGUGUGUGAAGAAGGCCUUCGGGUUGUAAAGCACUUUUGUCCGGAAAGAAAUCCCUUGCCCUAAUACGGCGGGGGGAUGACG